AGUGAACGCUGGCGGUAGGCCUAACACAUGCAAGUCGAACGGCAGCACAGUAAGAGCUUGCUCUUACGGGUGGCGGGUGGCGGACGGGUGAGGAAUACAUCGUAAUCUACUUUUUCGUGGGGGAUAACGUAGGGAAACUUACGCUAAUACCGCAUACGACCUACCGGUGAAAGCAGGGGAUCUUCGGACCUUGCGCGAUUGAAUGAGCCGAUGUGGGACUAGCUAGUUGGCGGGGUAACGGCCCACCAAGGCGCCGAUCCGUAGCCGGGCAGGGGGGGUGGUCCGCGACUGUGGAGCUGAGACGCGGCCCAGGGUCCGACGGGCGGCAGCGGUGGGGACUGUUGGACACUGGGCGCAAGCCUGCACCAGGCGUGCAGCGUGGGUGCAGAAGGCCUGCGGGUUGUAAGGCCCUUUGUUGGGAAAGAAAAGCAGCAGCUUGAUACCCCGCUGUUGUGACGGUACCCAAAGAAUAAGCACCGGCUAACUUCGUG
rnacentral:rRNA from 1 species